GACAGAGGGUGCAAACGUUGUUCGGAGUCACUGGGCGUAAAGCGUGUGUAGGCGGCCAUAUAAGUCGGAUGUGAAAGCCCUGGGCUCAACCCAGGAAGUGCACCCGAAACUGUGUGGCUUGAGUACUGGAGAGGUUGGUGGAAUUCUCGGUGUAGAGGUGAAAUUCGUAGAUAUCGAGAGGAACACCGGUGGCGAAGGCGACUACCUGGACCAGCACUGACACUGAGGCACGAAAGCGUGGGGAGCAAACAGG
rnacentral:rRNA from 1 species